rnacentral:rRNA from 1 species
GAACGGGUGAGUAACACGUGGGCAAUCUGCCCUGCACUCUGGGACAAGCCCUGGAAACGGGGUCUAAUACCGGAUACUGAUCCGCCUGGGCAUCCAGGCGGUUCGAAAGCUCCGGCGGUGCAGGAUGAGCCCGCGGCCUAUCAGCUUGUUGGUGAGGUAGUGGCUCACCAAGGCGACGACGGGUAGCCGGCCUGAGAGGGCGACCGGCCACACUGGGACUGAGACACGGCCCAGACUCCUACGGGAGGCAGCAGUGGGGAAUAUUGCACAAUGGGCGAAAGCCUGAUGCAGCGACGCCGCGUGAGGGAUGACGGCCUUCGGGUUGUAAACCUCUUUCAGCAGGGAAGAAGCGAAAGUGACGGUACCUGCAGAAGAAGCGCCGGCUAACUACGUGCCAGCAGCCGCGGUAAUACGUAGGGCGCAAGCGUUGUCCGGAAUUAUUGGGCGUAAAGAGCUCGUAGGCGGCUUGUCACGUCGGUUGUGAAAGCCC